CCUACGGGCGGCAGCAGUAGGGAAUCUUCCACAAUGGGCGAAAGCCUGAUGGAGCAACGCCGCGUGGGUGAAGAAGGUCUUCGGAUCGUAAAACCCUGUUGUUAGAGAAGAAAGUGCGGGAGAGUAACUGUUCACGUGUCGACGGUAUCUAACCAGAAAGCCACGGCUAACUACGUGCCAGCAGCCGCGGUAAUACGUAGGUGGCAAGCGUUAGCCGGAUUUAUUGGGCGUAAAGGGAACGCAGGCGGUCUUUUAAGUCUGAUGUGAAAGCCCUCGGCUUAACCGGAGUAGUGCUUUGGAAACUGGGAGACUUGAGUGCAGAAGAGGAGAGUGGAACUCCAUGUGUAGCGGUGAAAUGCGUAGAUAUAUGGAAGAACCCCAGUGGCGAAGGCGGCUCUCUGGUCUGUAACUGACGCUGAGGUUCGAAAGCGUGGGUAGCAAACAGGAUUAGAUACCCGGGUAGUC
rnacentral:rRNA from 1 species